UGUUUUAUUGUUGGACAGAAGGAAAAAGAGUGUCACGAAGAAGGGAACUGCUGUCAUUAUUAGCUUGGAAUGGAAUUUGUAUUUUGACAAAAGAUGCAGACAUUUUAAGACCCGGAAUGCUCACAAAAAGGACAAGAGCUCAGAGCUGUAUGGAAAUUUACACAAAAGGUCAGUUAACGGAGUAAGCUGAUACGGAGGAUAAUAUAUCAAAGGCAGCAUAGGCGUCCAAACUCCUGUUCAAGGUGCUUUUAAUCAGAAGCUUAAGAGACAAAAGACGAGCCAUUGACAAGGCAAAACUGAAUGUUUUAUAUGAAAUUGAGCAAGAAAAGUUUGAAGUGUCUUUGGGAAUGAUCAACAUCAAACUUGCUGAGCUUUUGAAGCCGUUGUACCAAAAGUGAAUCCAUUCGUGACACCAAUUAUCUGACCACCCUCUAGCAGAACCAGUGAGGAAGUGAUUCUAGCCAAUACUUCAGAAGUUUAGGACCUUCAAUAAUUAGGAUCUUGGGGCAUGUUGGGGAAAAAAAUAGCAUGUGUUGAUUUUAUGGGAUCUUCCAAAUAUAGUUGUGUAGUACAAUGUAGAUAGUUGUGUACUUAAUACCUAUGUUUGUCACUCUAGUCAUUAACUUUGUAUGGUAAAUGUAUAUGGACCACUGGAAGAUCAUUGUAACUGCAUACAAAUGUUGCAAAUAUACCCUGUUAAGGCUUUAGUGACCUUUCCCAAGGUCAUUCAAUGAAGCAAAAGGUCAUAAUUAAUGGGGUUUUUUUUAAUCUAUUUUGUUUUAUUAUCAAAAAGUGUCAUAUGUUUGAGAUUACUCUAGGUACAAAGGAUUUUCUUUAAUCAAAAGUCAUUUGUUUCUCAUGCAGACUGUAAUUUACUACAUGUACAUGCAUGUAUAUUAUAAUAAUUCUCAUUAAUUAAACCAAGGUGAUCAUCCAGUAAUGAUAUUUUUCUGUGGAUUUAUAACAUUGUUUAAAUAACCUUUGAUGUAAAAUACUUUCAGUGAUAAUACUUUUUAAAAUUUGUGCUUUCAUUAUACAUAGAAGUGUGUAUGCAAUAUUUGUCCCCAAACACAUUGUAAAGCAAAAAUGAUUUUUUAUUUUGAAAAUAUAGAUUUGAUUUAUGAAAAAUUGUGAUGUAGUCAUUUUUUUUGUAAUUAUUUGGCCCUUAAAUUAUUUUGAUUAUUCCAGUUUUUUGUAUUUUCCUGGAAUUCCUUGGAUUUCCGUGGAAUUCCAUAGAUUUCCAAAUAUCCUGGAAUUCCAUGGAUUUCCAGCUAUUUCCGCAAAUUUCUAUUCUGGCAUUGUUCCGCUCUUUUCCAGGCUAGAUUUGAAAUUCCAUACCAUUCCGAAAAAGUUCCGUCCCAAUACUCUUGAGAAUUCCUUGGAAUUCCAUGGAACACUUUUUCCAUGGAAUUCCACGGAAUUUGUUAUGGAAUUCCACGGAUCUUACGGAAAAUCUACA